rnacentral:tRNA from 1 species
GACGAGGUGGCCGAGUGGUUAAGGCGAUGGACUGCUAAACCAUUGGCUGUGCCCGUAUGGGUUCGAGUCCAACCCUCGUCG